CUACAGGCUUAACACAUGCAAGUCGAGGGGUAUCAGGAAGAAAGCUUGCUUUCUUUGCUGGCGACCGGCGCACGGGUGAGUAACACGUAUCCAACCUGCCCUUUACUCGGGGAUAGCCUUUCGAAAGAAAGAUUAAUACCCGAUAGCAUAAUGAUUCCGCAUGGUUUCAUUAUUAAAGGAUUCCGGUAAAGGAUGGGGAUGCGUUCCAUUAGGUUGUUGGUGAGGUAACGGCUCACCAAGCCUUCGAUGGAUAGGGGUUCUGAGAGGAAGGUCCCCCACAUUGGAACUGAGACACGGUCCAAACUCCUACGGGAGGCAGCAGUGAGGAAUAUUGGUCAAUGGGCGGUAGCCUGAACCAGCCAAGUAGCGUGAAGGAUGAAGGCUCUAUGGGUCGUAAACUUCUUUUAUAUAAGAAUAAAGUGCAGUAUGUAUACUGUUUUGUAUGUAUUAUAUGAAUAAGGAUCGGCUAACUCCGUGCCAGCAGCCGCGGUAAUACGGAGGAUCCGAGCGUUAUCCGGAUUUAUUGGGUUUAAAGGGAGCGUAGGUGGACUGGUAAGUCAGUUGUGAAAGUUUGCGGCUCAACCGUAAAAUUGCAGUUGAUACUGUCAGUCUUGAGUACAGUAGAGGUGGGCGGAAUUCGUGGUGUAGCGGUGAAAUGCUUAGAUAUCACGAAGAACUCCGAUUGCGAAGGCAGCUCACUGGACUGCAACUGACACUGAUGCCUCGAAAGUGUGGGUAUCAAAACAGGAUUAGAUACCCUGGUAGUCCACACAGUAAACGAUGAAUACUCUCUGUUUGCCAUAUACAGAAAGCGGCCAAGCGAAAGCAUUAAGUAUUCCUCCUGGGGAGUACGCCGGCAUCGGUGAAACUCAAAGGAAUUGACGGGGGCCCGCACAAGCGGAGGAACAUGUGGUUUUAUUCGAUGAUACGCGAGGAACCUUACCCGGGCUUAAAUUGCAGUGGAAUGAUGUGGAAACAUGUCAGUGAGCAAUCACCGCUGUGAAGGUGCUGCAUGGUUGUCGUCAGCUCGUGCCGCGAGGUGUCGGCUUAAGUGCCAUAACGAGCGCAACCCUUAUCUUUAGUUACUAACAGGUCAUGCUGAGGACUCUAGAGAGACUGCCGUCGUAAGAUGUGAGGAAGGUGGGGAUGACGUCAAAUCAGCACGGCCCUUACGUCCGGGGCUACACACGUGUUACAAUGGGGGGUACAGAAGGCAGCUAGCGGGUGACCGUAUGCUAAUCCCAAAAGCCUCUCUCAGUUCGGAUCGAAGUCUG
rnacentral:rRNA from 1 species